AUUGAACGCUGGCGGCAGGCCUAACACAUGCAAGUCGAGCGAGCGGCGGACGGGUGAGUAAUGUAUGGGGACUGCCCGAUAGAGGGGGAUAACUACUGGAAACGGUGGAUAAUACCGCAUACUAUCGGAUAACCCAUAUGGGAGUAGCUAGUAGGUGGGGUCAAGGCUCACCUAGGCGACGAUCUCUAGCUGGUCUGAGAGGAUGAUCAGCCACACUGGGACUGAGACACGUCCCAGACUCCUACGGAGGCAGCAGUGGGGAAUCUGGCGCAAUGGGCGCAAGUCUGAUGGAGCAAUGCCGCGUGAGUGAAGAAGGCCUUCGGGUUGUAAAGCACUGUUGGUGGGGAGGCGUUACCUAAAGAAGAAGCACCGGCUAACUCCGUGCCAGCAGCCGCGGUAAUUC
rnacentral:rRNA from 1 species